rnacentral:lncRNA from 1 species
UUUUAGUUCACCUCUCUGGUGUUGUUCUUGUAUUCAUGUGAUUAAUCUAGUUCUUGCUAGUUCUUCUUAAAUUUCUUGUUAGAUCUUGAGUCUGUAUUUCUAUGUCCGUGAUAGUUUGUUGAGACUUCACUCACCUCAGAUAUCAGAGCUAAUUUCUUCCUCGUUAGAAUGUAGAUUAUCCCUCUGCUUGGAAGUGUACUAGUAUUUUAGAAGUUGCGGAUUAUCCUCCUCUAAACUGAUACUUCUUUUGUUACAAUAUUGGAGUCUUAUUCUUCUUGGAGAGAGUAGAUUACUCCUUUUCUUGAAGCUCUUAAGGUAUUUUAGAGGUUGCGGAGUAUCCUCCUCUAAACCAAUAUUUUCUUUUUGUAGAGUCAUUUCUGUCCUUCUCUUAGAAUGGCCAGGG